rnacentral:rRNA from 1 species
GACGAACGCUGGCGGCGUGCUUAACACAUGCAAGUCGAACGAAGAGCGAUGGAAGCUUGCGUCUACCACUCUUAGUGGCGAACGGGUGAGUAACGCGUAAUCAACCUGCCCUUCAGAGGGGGACAACAGUUGGAAACGACUGCUAAUACCGCAUACGAUCCAAUCUCGGUAUCGGUACGGGAGGAAAGGUGGCCUCUAUUUAUAAGCCAUCACUGAAGGAGGGGAUUGCGUCUGUUUAGUUAGUUGGCGGGGUAAGGGCCCACCAAGGCGAUGAUGAGGAGCCGGUAUGAGAGGAUGAACGGCCACAUUGGGACUGAGACACGGCACAGACUGCUACGGGAGGCAGCAGUGGGGAAUCUUCCGCAAUGGACGAAAGUCUGACGGAGAUACGCCGCGUGAGUGAUGACGGCCUUCGGGUUGUAAAGCUCUGUUAAUCGGGACGAAUGGUUCUUGUGCGAAUAGUGCGAGGAUUUGACGGUACCGGAAUAGAAAGCCACGGCUAACUACGUG